AUUGAACGCUGGCGGCAGGCUUAACACAUGCAAGUCGAGCGGGGUGAUGGUGCUUGCACUAUCACCUAGCGGCGGACGGGUGAGUAAUGCUUAGGAAUCUGCCUAUUAGUGGGGGACAACAUCUCGAAAGGGAUGCUAAUACCGCAUACGUCCUACGGGAGAAAGCAGGGGAUCACUUGUGACCUUGCGCUAAUAGAUGAGCCUAAGUCGGAUUAGCUAGUUGGUGGGGUAAAGGCCUACCAAGGCGACGAUCUGUAGCGGGUCUGAGAGGAUGAUCCGCCACACUGGGACUGAGACACGGCCCAGACUCCUACGGGAGGCAGCAGUGGGGAAUAUCGGACAAUGGGGGGAACCCUGAUCCAGCCAUGCCGCGUGUGUGAAGAAGGCCUUAUGGUUGUAAAGCACUUUAAGCGAGGAGGAGGCUCUUUUGGUUAAUACCCAAGAUGAGUGGACGUUACUCGCAGAAUAAGCACCGGCUAACUCUGUGCCAGCAGCCGCCGUAA
rnacentral:rRNA from 1 species